rnacentral:tRNA from 1 species
GAGGUAUUAGCUCAGUUGGCAGAGCAUUUGACUUUUAAUCAAAGGGUCUGGGGUUCGAAUCCCCAAUACCUCA